CAAAAAUCCUGAAGGUAAUGAUUCUGCUCACCAGAACAAAUUCAAUAAGCUGUAGUUGUUCUGGUGACUAUAGUGUCCCUUGAACAAUAAAGUGUCCCUUUAACGAAAUUGUAAGUCCUUCCUCUUGGCACUUAAAAUAAUUUUCCAGCUACAGAUGUUCCACUUUCACAUAUCUUUAAGGGCAUGGACUAGGGAGUCAAACUGAACGAACUGAUUUACAUGUGGACUGCCAUGCAAGGUUUGCAAGGAGAUUCUAUUAGCUCCACUCAGAUUGAGUGUCAGUUGUGCCCCCUCAGCCAAUGAGCUAAAUCCUGCG